AUUGAACGCUGGCGGCAGGCCUAACACAUGCAAGUCGAACGAGUGGCGGACGGGUGAGUAAUGUCUGGGAAACUGCCUGAUGUAGGGGGAUAACUACUGGAAACGGUAGCUAAUACCGCAUACCAUCGGAUCUGCCCAGAUGGGAUUAGCUAGUCGGGGGGGUAACGGCUCACCUAGGCGACGAUCCCUAGCUGGUCUGAGAGGAUGACCAGCCACACUGGAACUGAGACACGGUCCAGACGCCUACGGGAGGCAGCAGUGGGGAAUAUUGCACAAUGGGCGCAAGCCUGAUGCAGCCAUGCCGCGUGUAUGAAGAAGGCCUUCGGGUUGUAAAGUACUUUCAGCGGGGAGGCGUUACUCGCAGAAGAAGCACCGGCUAACUCCGUGCCAGCAGCCGCGGUAAUAC
rnacentral:rRNA from 1 species